UACGUAGGGGGCAAGCGUUGUCCGGAAUCAUUGGGCGUAAAGCGCGCGUAGGCGGCCAGAUAAGUCCGGUGUGAAAGUCACAGGCUCAACCUGUGAAUGCCGCUGGAAACUGUCUGGCUUGAGUUUGGGAGAGGGACGCGGAAUUCCAGGUGUAGCGGUGAAAUGCGUAGAUAUCUGGAGGAACACCGGUGGCGAAGGCGGCGUCCUGGACCAACACUGACACUGAGGAGCGAAAGCCAGGGGAGCAAACGGG
rnacentral:rRNA from 1 species